rnacentral:rRNA from 1 species
AUGCAUGAUCAGGUCGGCGUGGACCUGGACGGCUUCCCGCUCGACCACGAGUUUCUGGAGGACUACGGUCUCAAAGAAGAGGAUGAGGUGGACAUCGAAGGGGAGCCUUUGUUCGAGGACGAGCUCGCCAACCAAGCCACCAAGAGGAAGCCAAAGUGCAAGAGCAGGCGGACGAAGGCGUACACCGCGACCAAGGACAAGCUUCUUUGUGAGUGUUGGAGGGACAUUGGGCAAGACCCCAAGACUGGCGCCGAACAAAAGGCAUCAACCUUUUGGACUCGUGUCCAUCAUGAGUUCCAUGAGCGCAAGAAGUUUUCACCGUACCAAAUGCAAAGCACGCGCGGAUGGGUGUCCAUUUAGAAA